GAAGCGGUUAAAACAGCUGAUUCAGCCGGUAACAAUUCCCGAUAUCAUAAAAGAUUCACAAUUUAAAGGGAACUCCCUCUGCUCAAUUGAGCCCAUAAAUAAAUGUGAAUAGUUAAGUUUUAUUCAAAAAUAUGUGUUCUGAAACGGUUCACUUUCGAGUCAAAAAUGCGGAAAAUGACGCAUAUAUCACGUAUCAUGAUAACACUGUUAAAACUGUAAACUUGUGUUGUUUAUAAAAUAAAUUCAAGUUCUUGGUGUACAUAUUGUCAAUAUUGCACUUUAUUACUUAAAAAAAAAAAUUUUAGUGUAGAAAAUUCAGUGGAGGCAGUUGCCUCCCCUGCCUCAUAGGUAGUUACGGCCC
rnacentral:lncRNA from 1 species